rnacentral:lncRNA from 1 species
GUAUAUAAUUUGGGUUUAUGGUCUAGGAUUAGGGUUUAGGGUAUAGGAUUUAGGUUUAUAGUCUAUUUUUUGGGUUUAAGGUAUAUAAUUUGGGUUUAUGGUCUAGGAUUAGGGUUUAGGGUAUAGGAUUUAGGUUUAUAGUCUAUUUUUUGGGUUUAAGGUAUAUAAUUUGGGUUUAUGGUCUAGGAUUAGGGUUUAGGGUAUAGGAUUUAGGUUUAUAGUCUAUUUUUUGGGUUUAAGGUAUAUAAUUUGGGUUUAUGGUCUAGGAUUAGGGUUUAGGGUAUAGGAUUUGGGUUUAGGAGUUUGAAUUUGGGUUUAAAAUUUAGGGUAUAGGGUUUAGAAUUUAAGAUUUAGGGUUUAGGAUUCUCUGGAAGCGUUAACGUCGUUAAAAUUAGCAUUUUUUAUUUUUUUGUACCUAUUUGUUAUUUAAUUUAAUAUUUUUUAAUUAAUAAUCUAUAGGUCAUUUUGAUUGGUACUAAAGAGUGAGGUGAAUUUAAAAGUUCACCCUAGAGGUUAACCUAACUUUUGUUAUUUAUAUUAAAAGAAAUUAUGCAUGAUGACAUUAUAAUCUUAUAUUUCUCUUUUGGAAAAUAAUGAUAAAUAGUUAUUGAGAACAAAACCACAUUUAUUCAUUGCUACCAGAUGAUGUUAUCUGGGAUCUAUAACAAAUUAUUCAGCAAGUGAAGUUUUAAUCUGUUUAGCAAAAAAAAAAAAAAAGUGAAGUUUUAAUCUGUUCACUAGAAACAUCUAAUUUGACGUCAUUAGCUUAAAGUUUCCCGCACCA